GAUGAAGAACGUAGCGAAAUGCGAUAAGUAAUGUGAAUUGCAGAAUUCAGUGAAUCAUCGAAUCUUUGAACGCACAUUGCGCCCGCUAGUAUUCUGGCGGGCAUGCCUGUCCGAGCGUCAUUUCAACCCUCAAGCCCCCGGGCUUGGUGUUGGGGAUCGGCGAGCCUCCGCGCCCGCCGUCCCCUAAAUCUAGUGGCGGUCUCGCUGUAGCUUCCUCUGCGUAGUAGCACACCUCGCACUGGGAAACAGCGCGGCCACGCCGUUAAACCCCCAACUUCUGAACGUUUGACCUCGGAGCAGGUAGGAAUACCCGCUGAACUUAAGCAUAUCAAUAAGCGGAGGA
rnacentral:misc_RNA from 1 species